rnacentral:snoRNA from 1 species
AAACCGUGGUGUAGGUAACAUCUCAACAAGUCCUUGUACCUCUCCCACACAUCAUACAUGCUCUCAUCAUCAAACUACACAAAGGAGGAAAUAUCAGUACAUUUU